rnacentral:rRNA from 1 species
UACGUAGGGCGCGAGCGUUGUCCGGAUUUAUUGGGCGUAAAGAGCUCGUAGGCGGCUCGUCGCGUCGACCGUGAAAACCUACCGCUUAACGGUGGGCUUGCGGUCGAUACGGGCGGGCUAGAGUUCGGUAGGGGAGACUGGAAUUCCUGGUGUAGCGGUGAAAUGCGCAGAUAUCAGGAGGAACACCAGUGGCGAAGGCGACUACCUGGCCUGUUUCUUGACGCUGAGGCGCGAAAGCUAGGGGAGCAAACGGG